rnacentral:rRNA from 1 species
CCUACGGGGCGCAGCAGUCGAGAAUCAUUCACAAUGGGGGAAACCCUGAUGGUGCGACGCCGCGUGGGGGAAUGAAGGUCUUCGGAUUGUAAACCCCUGUCAUGUGGGAGCAAAUUAAAAAGAUAGUACCACAAGAGGAAGAGACGGCUAACUCUGUGCCAGCAGCCGCGGUAAUACAGAGGUCUCAAGCGUUGUUCGGAAUCACUGGGCGUAAAGUGUGCGUAGGCUGUUUCGUAAGUCGUGUGUGAAAGGCGCGGGCUCAACCCGCGGACGGCACAUGAUACUGCGAGACUAGAGUAAUGGAGGGGGAACCGGAAUUCUCGGUGUAGCAGUGAAAUGCGUAGAUAUCGAGAGGAACACUCGUGGCGAAGGCGGGUUCCUGGACAUUAACUGACGCUGAGGCACGAAGGCCAGGGGAGCGAAAGGGAUUAGAUACCCCAGUAGUC